rnacentral:rRNA from 1 species
AUGGUCACACUGAAUGUGACCAAUCUCAUCCGAUCUUGGAAGGUAAGCAGGGUUAGGCCUGCUUAGUACUUGGAUGGGGGAGUAUGUGAUUCAUU